GAGCUGCUAGACCGCGAGGUGUAGCUCAUCUCAUAAACCGUUCUCAGUUCGGAUUGUAGGCUGCAACUCGCCUACAUGAAGCUGGAAUCGCUAGUAAUCGCGGAUCAGCAUGCCGCGGUGAAUACGUUCCCGGGCCUUGUACACACCGCCCGUCACACCACGAGAGUUUGUAACACCCGAAGUCGGUGGGGUAACCUUUUUGGAGCCAGCCGCCUAAGGUGGGACAGAUGAUUGGGGUGAAGUCGUAACAAGGUAGCCGUAUCGAAAGGUGCGGUUGGAUCACCUC
rnacentral:rRNA from 1 species